rnacentral:rRNA from 1 species
UGGGGAAUAUUGGACAAUGGGCGAAAGCCUGAUCCAGCCAUGCCGCGUGUGUGAAGAAGGUCUUCGGAUUGUAAAGCACUUUAAGUUGGGAGGAAGGGCAGUAAGCGAAUACCUUGCUGUUUUGACGUUACCGACAGAAUAAGCACCGGCUAACUCUGUGCCAGCAGCCGCGGUAAUACAGAGGGUGCAAGCGUUAAUCGGAAUUACUGGGCGUAAAGCGCGCGUAGGUGGUUCGUUAAGUUGAAUGUGAAAGCCCCGGGCUCAACCUGGGAUCUGCAUCCAAAACUGGCGGGCUAGAGUAGGGCAGAGGGUGGUGGAAUUUCCUGUGUAGCGGUGAAAUGCGUAGAUAUAGGAAGGAACACCAGUGGCGAAGGCGACCACCUGGGCUCAUACUGACACUGAGGUGCGAAAGCGUGGGGAGCAAACAGG